CCUGAGAGGGUGAUCGGCCACACUGGCGACUGAGACACGGUCCCAGACUCCUACGGGAGGCAGCAGUAGGGAAUCUUCCGCAAUGGACGAAAGUCUGACGGAGCAACGCCGCGUGAGUGAUGAAGGUUUUCGGAUCGUAAAGCUCUGUUGUUAGGGAAGAACAAGUGCCGUUCAAAUAGGGCGGCACCUUGACGGUACCUAACCAGAAAGCCACGGCUAACUACGUGCCAGCAGCCGCGGUAAUACGUAGGUGGCAAGC
rnacentral:rRNA from 1 species